UACGUAGGGUGCAAGCGUUAAUCGGAAUACUGGGCGUAAAGCGUGCGCAGGCGGUGAUGUAAGACAGUUGUGAAACCUCCCGGGCUCAACCUGGGAACUGCAUCUGUGACUGCAUUGCUGGAGUGCGGCAGAGGGGGAUGGAAUUCCGCGUGUAGCAGUGAAAUGCGUAGAUAUGCGGAGGAACACCGAUGGCGAAGGCAAUCCCCUGGGCCUGCACUGACGCUCAUGCACGAAAGCGUGGGGAGCAAACAGG
rnacentral:rRNA from 1 species